CAGGCUCUGUGGUACCUGAUGUAAGGAAAUUGCUGGCUUUAUAGGAGAAGAUGCCAGACUUUUGUGCAGCCUACGGAUGCUCCAAUCGCCGUAGUCUCAAAACGAGAGCCCAUGGGAUCACCUUUCACCUAUCACAUCACAUAUUGUUAAAGGAGCUGUCAUGUUGCGUGUUGUCGAGAGGCCAGGGAGGAGUCAGGAAGGCUAAGUACACAGGAGUGGUUUUCCCAAAUGCCAGUCAUGCUUUAUUUUAUAAGCAUUGCAAAAGCAGGUACAGCCAACAAAGUACAAAAAAAAGAGAAAGAAAAAAAUACUGUGAGCAGCAAAACCUGGCACUAAACAAUGCCUAGUGGCACAUCCACAAUAUAAAACUGCAUGUCUCACCUCAGACAAACAUGUUCACACCCUUGCAUCAUACACAGAAUGCCCCAAACAUACUCAGACAAUGGAUCAAAUGGACCAGUUUCCCGCCAAACACUAG